AUUGAACGCUGGCGGUAGGCCUAACACAUGCAAGUCGAACGCGAAAGUCCUUCGGGAUGAGUAGAGUGGCGGACGGGUGAGUAACGCGUAGGAAUCUAUCCUGUAGUGGGGGAUAACGUUUCGAAAGGAACGCUAAUACCGCAUACGCCCCAAGGGGGAAAGCGGGGGAUCUUCGGACCUCGUGCUAUAGGAGGAUCCUGCGUCGGAUUAGCUAGUUGGUGAGGUAAAGGCUCACCAAGGCGACGAUCCGUAGCGGGUAUGAGAGGAUGAUCAGCCACACCGGAACUGAGACACGGUCCGGACUCCUACGGGAGGCAGCAGUGGGGAAUAUUGCGCAAUGGGCGAAAGCCUGACGCAGCCAUACCGCGUGUGUGAAGAAGGCCUUCGGGUUGUAAAGCACUUUCAGUGGGGAGGAAAAGCUGGUGGCUAAUAUCCAUCGGCCGUGACGCUACCCACAGAAGAAGCACCGGCUAAUUCCGUGCCAGCCGCCGCUGUAAAAC
rnacentral:rRNA from 1 species